rnacentral:rRNA from 1 species
UACAGAGGGGGCAAGCGUUAUUCGGAAUUAUUGGGCGUAAAGAGCUUGUAGGCGGUUUGUCGCGUCUGCUGUGAAAUUUCUGGGCUCAACCCCGAACUUGCAGUGGGUACGGGCAGACUAGAGUGUGGUAGGGGAGACUGGAAUUCCUGGUGUAGCGGUGAAAUGCGCAGAUAUCAGGAGGAACACCGAUGGCGAAGGCAGGUCUCUGGGCCACUACUGACGCUGAGAAGCGAAAGCAUGAGGAGCGAACAGG